rnacentral:rRNA from 1 species
CAGUAGCCACGGUAAUACAGAGGGUGCGAGCGUUAAUCGGAUUUACUGGGCGUAAAGCGUGCGUAGGCGGCUUUUUAAGUCGGAUGUGAAAUCCCUGAGCUUAACUUAGGAAUUGCAUUCGAUACUGGGAAGCUAGAGUAUGGGAGAGGAUGGUAGAAUUCCAGGUGUAGCGGUGAGAUGCGUAGAGAUCUGGAGGAAUACCGAUGGCGAAGGCAGCCAUCUGGCCUAAUACUGACGCUGAGGUACGAAAGCAUGGGGAGCAAACAGGAUUAGAUACCCGUGUAGUCCCUGUCUCUUAUAC